UACGUAGGGUGCGAGCGUUAAUCGGAAUUACUGGGCGUACAGCGUGCGCAGGCGGCUUUGCAAGACAGAGGUGAAAUCCCCGGGCUCAACCUGGGAACUGCCUUUGUGACUGCAAGGCUAGAGUACGGCAGAGGGGGAUGGAAUUCCGCGUGUAGCAGUGAAAUGCGUAGAUAUGCGGAGGAACACCAAUGGCGAAGGCAAUCCCCUGGGCCUGUACUGACGCUCAUGCACGAAAGCGUGGGGAGCAAACAGGAUUAGAAACCCUAGUAGUCC
rnacentral:rRNA from 1 species